CCUCAUGAUUCACCCGCCUUGGCCUUCCAAAAUGCUGGGAUUACAGGCGUGAGCCACUGUGCCCUGCCAAAGGCCUUUUCAAAUCUAACGAUGUACUCACAUUUCCACCUGUCUGCCAGCCCUUGUCCAGUUUGACCUGGGCACUCACUGCUGCUCUGGUGGUGAGUACUGCUGAUGGUUCUUUUCCCUGCCCAUCCUUGAGGUGCUCGCUUCAAUAUGUCAAAUGAGGACUCUCAUUACAUUUGGCUGUCAUACAUCAGCCACAACUGUCCUGCCCAGAAGAGCUGGCCUUGGCUUUAAAGCCUACAUCCUGGCUGACCUUCUUUACUGCUUUAUUAAGG
rnacentral:lncRNA from 1 species